GAACACAAAAUGGCGACACGUGGUUAGCAUUCGUCGCCAACGAGAAAUUGGGGUCGGCCCGAAAGCUCUAGAAUGCACCCCUCUUCCUCCCCGGGGCCUUCCACCUCCGCGAGUUUUAUGACUUAAAAAAGCCCACAGGCUGGUCUGAAGGUCGGAGGCCUAAUUUUAACGCGUUUUCCUCCCUUUAAUUUGAAACGGGAACGCGAAUGACUGUAAAAUAGGAAGACAAACAUAAAGAUGAAGUGCUUAAUUCAAGGUCACACAAUGUCGGGGAUGGACCUCCAGAUUUCCUUACUGACCUGCAUUAUCUUGUGGAUACCUGAGUGAAUUCCACACCACCCAUUUUAUAGAUGAAACCACUGAGACAUGGAGCAAUUGACUGAGUAGUCACUGCCCCACCCCUGCCUGGAGCCUCACACAUGACUCGCCUCCUCUCAGUGACCACAGGUGAGACGUGGUCUUGUAACACAGUGGUUAAGAAUGUGACUUUGGAGCCAGCCUGCUAGGGGCUGAAUUCUGACUCAGCCAUUUACUAACUGUGUGACCUUAGUCUCACUGUUGCUCAGGCUGGAGUGCAAUGGCAUGAUCUCGGCUCAUCACAACCUCUGCUUCCUGGGUUCAAGCGAUUCUCCUGCCUCAGCCUCCCGAGUACCUGGGACUACAGGCACUCGCCACCAUGCCCGGCUGAUUUUUGUAUUUUUAAUAGAGAUGGUUUCACUAUGUUGGCCAGGCUGGUCUCGAACUCCUGACCUUGUGAUCUGCCCACCUCAGCCUCGAAAAGUGCUGGGAUUACAGGCGUGAGCCACUGCGCCCAGCCUUGUAUUUUUUUUCAGUUUGGGUAGCUGUCCCUAAUUCAUUUGUUAAAGGAGAAGCAAGAGCAAGAACCUUUAAUCUGUUCUCCUCUUCCCUAAUUUGAAAGUAGCUUGUUAUUUUGAAUAUCACUUUCUCUGAAAUAGCACAUCUCCAUCUCAGAGAAUGGAUUUAAUGUUUGGAUACAGCCAAAAGUCAUUUCAUUACCAAACCAUGGGGUGAAUAUACCAUGUAAAGCAGUUUGGGAUCAGAACUCACAGUCUGAAUUGUAAGUGAUGAGACUGCUGUCUCUCUGCUACAGCUUCUUGGCUGGCUCUGAAGGCUCUUUGAAGGCAGAUCCUAACAAGGGGACUGCUUUGAAGGGCCAUUGUUCAUUUGGAAUGAUAAAGUCUAUGUUGUUCAAAAAACAAAUGCUUGUAGCAGGUAUUUUUUCACUCCAGACUGAGAAUAUUGGUGGGAUAUUGAUAAGGGGUACUGAAUGGUAAUAAACAUGUGCUCUAGCUCUGUGCUAGUCAGCUUAUUUCAGAACUCUAGUUUGAUUCAGUUUCUUGCCUCUGACUCAAAAUGGAGGGAGAGUGAUUUUUACAUAAGAGAACACACCCACAUAUCCUUUUGGCAGCAGCUACCUGCCAGAGAUGUUGAAGAAGAGUAGCCAACCUUUACACAGCAGAUAUUGUGUGCCAGUCAUAGUCCUAAGUAUAAUACCUUACAUGUAUAAACUUCUUAUAAGGUUGGUGCUCUGUACCGAAUUGAAUAGUAUCCCCCAAAAUUCAUGUUGUCCCAGAACCUAUGAAAGUGAUCUUACUUGAGGGAGGGGGGAGGGGGGAGGGAUAGCAUUAGGAGAUAUACCUAAUGCUAAAUGACGAGUUAAUGGGUGUAGCACACCAGCAUGGCACAUGUAUACAUAUGUAACUAACCUGCACAUUGUGCACAUGUACCCUAAAACUUAAAGUAUAAUAAUAAUAAAAUAAAAAAAAAAAAGAAAGUGAUCUUACUUGGAAAUAAGGUCUUUGCACAUAUGAUCAAGUUGAGAUGAAGUUGUACUGGAAAGUCUGUCUAGUGACUGGUGUUGUCAUAAGAAGAGAGGGACACAGAGGGAAGAUGGCCACAUGAAGAUGGAGGCAGAGAUUGCAGUUAUGCUGCUGCAAACUAAGGAAUGGCUCUGGCCCUCCAAGGAUUGCUGAUAACCACCAGAAACUAGAAGAGACAAGGAAGGAUUCUUCCCUAGAGCCUUCAGAGGGAGCAUGGCCCUACUGACACCUGGAUUUCAAACUUGUAGCUUCCUAAACUGCAAGAGAAUAA
rnacentral:lncRNA from 1 species